GACGAACGCUGGCGGCGUGCUUAACACAUGCAAGUCGAACGGAAAGGCCCUGCUUUUGUGGGGUGCUCGAGUGGCGAACGGGUGAGUAACACGUGAGUAACCUGCCCUUGACUUUGGGAUAACUUCAGGAAACUGGGGCUAAUACCGGAUAGGAGCUCCUGCUGCAUGGUGGGGGUUGGAAAGUUUCGGCGGUUGGGGAUGGACUCGCGGCUUAUCAGCUUGUUGGUGGGGUAGUGGCUUACCAAGGCUUUGACGGGUAGCCGGCCUGAGAGGGUGACCGGCCACAUUGGGACUGAGAUACGGACCAGACUCGUACGGGAGGCAGCAGUGGGGAAUAUUGCACAAUGGGCGGAAGCCUGAUGCAGCAACGCCGCGUGCGGGAUGACGGCCUUCGGGUUGUAAACAGCUUUCGCCUGUGACGAAGCGUGAGUGACGGUAAUGGGUAAAGAAGCACCGGCUAACUACGUG
rnacentral:rRNA from 1 species